CAAGUCGAGCGGCAGCACGGGUACUUGUACCUGGUGGCGAGCGGCGGACGGGUGAGUAAUGCCUAGGAAUCUGCCUAGUAGUGGGGGAUAACGUCCGGAAACGGGCGCUAAUACCGCAUACGUCCUACGGGAGAAAGUGGGGGAUCUUCGGACCUCACGCUAUUAGAUGAGCCUAGGUCGGAUUAGCUAGUUGGUGAGGUAAUGGCUCACCAAGGCGACGAUCCGUAACUGGUCUGAGAGGAUGAUCAGUCACACUGGAACUGAGACACGGUCCAGACUCCUACGGGAGGCAGCAGUGGGGAAUAUUGGACAAUGGGCGAAAGCCUGAUCCAGCCAUGCCGCGUGUGUGAAGAAGGUCUUCGGAUUGUAAAGCACUUUAAGUUGGGAGGAAGGGCAGUUACCUAAUACGUGAUUGUUUUGACGUUACCGACAGAAUAAGCACCGGCUAACUCUGUGCCAGCAGCCGCGGUAAUACAGAGGGUGCAAGCGUUAAUCGGAAUUACUGGGCGUAAAGCGCGCGUAGGUGGUUUGUUAAGUUGGAUGUGAAAGCCCCGGGCUCAACCUGGGAACUGCAUCCAAAACUGGCAAGCUAGAGUAUGGUAGAGGGUGGUGGAAUUUCCUGUGUAGCGGUGAAAUGCGUAGAUAUAGGAAGGAACACCAGUGGCGAAGGCGACCACCUGGACUGAUACUGACACUGAGG
rnacentral:rRNA from 1 species